rnacentral:snRNA from 1 species
GCAGCGCCGUCUUCUGACUACGGUGCUU